rnacentral:rRNA from 1 species
UGCCAGCCGCCGCGGUAAUACGGAGGUGGCAAACGUUGCUCGGAAUCACUGGGCUUAAAGGGCGUGUAGGCGGUCGUUCAAGUCGGAUGUGAAAGCCCUCGGCUCAACCGAGGAAAGGCAUUCGAUACUGUUCGACUUGAGUGCGGCAGGGGUAAGUGGAACUUCAGGUGUAGCGGUGAAAUGCGUAGAUAUCUGAAGGAACGCCAAGGGCGAAAGCAACUUACUGGGCCGCAACUGACGCUGAGGCGCGAAAGCUAGGGUAGCGAACGGGAUUAGAUA